AUUAGGCGGGGCGGCGAGUCCGACUCAUAAAUAUUUUAAGGAAUGACCCGGCCCUGGGGUGCGGAAUUGCUGCGCGGGCGGGGGC
rnacentral:pre_miRNA from 1 species